GAAGCAAGAAUGAGGAAGCAGAAGCUUUGAGGUGGAGACAGUCUACGAGGGGAGAGGAGAAAGAAGGAGUGGCAGCAGCAGAAACAGUGAAGAAGAGGCAGAGAGCUAGACAAAACGGGGAGACAGAUUUCAGGGCAGCAGAGAGGAGACUUUGCAAGCAGAAAGAAUGAGCACAAGCAGAGGGAGCCGCAGAGGGAGCCGCAGAGGGAGCCGCAGAAGGACUCGAUCCAAGAACCCUGGGAUCAUGACCUGAACCGAAGGCAGUUGCCCAACCAACGGAACCACUGAGGGGUCCCUGAUUGAGAUGAGUAAAACUGAGGCACCAAGGGAUUAAGUGAUUUGUCCAGAGCCACACAAUGACAGAGCUGUGAUCAGAACUGAGCACUCUGGAUCCCAAGGCUUUUAAUUACCAUGUGAAGGUGGUCCAUUCUAUUUCUGGGAUAUUCUAAUUCAGGUAUCUUCAGCCUUCAACCUUGCAUCAGAGGCACAUCAGAAAUCAAGGUUCUGAGCUGGCUUAGGACAAAGAAAUGGAGACCAACCUAGCUCGGGCAACGCCAGGAGUGUCUCUGCAGAGAUGUCUUUAUCGAGGACUCCGAAGACCAGAGGAGGCAAGGAUGUGAAGAAGAGGUUGAAGAAUAUCAUCUGCCAGUAAUCGAUCAUGGUGGAGCCGGAGAAACCACAGAAAAACUGGUACCAGAAGAGCAGGUUGACGUAGCACUGCAGGCGGAGAGUGUGGCCUUGUGAGUGAGGACCCAUGGGCCGUGGUCACCAAUGGCUGCCUAGGAGCCUCUGGCAAGUCACCACGCUGACUCGGAGCUUCUGUUUUCUCAUUUGUGACACGCAGAGUUGUGUAAGGGUCAGCGGUAACUAAUCCUUAGAGUAGCAGCUGCCACUACAGCAACUAUGACUGUGAGUUAGGACCUGAAGGGAACUACACCGACUCGUUAAGGUGACCUGUGGGAUGUUUCUUGGCUCUGAAAGAGAUCCUGGUGCCCUGAGAUAUCCUGGACCUUGAAUCUUUCUGUCAGAAGGAAUGAGAAGGCUCAAUCUGUUUGUUGUGCUGCCCGCCCUGUUAGGACCUUGCUUGCUUCCGCUUCCAUCUGCUGGAAUCUCUGCCCUAUGGAGGGGGCGCCCAGAACCUGGUGAUGGCAUCACUGAGAGGGGGCCUGCGUUUUCCUCCCAAGAAGCUACAGUGCAGUAAUUAAUUCAUUGUUCAAAUUUCAGAGCAGGCAGCAUUUUAAUCCCCUCUGAAAUUGGUUUCGGAUGUGGAAGUCAUAGUUCUCCACCCUCUAAUUGCAAUGGGGAGAUAAUGCGGCAUCAGUAUCACAAUUUCGAGCACGGCAUCAGGCUGGAAAUAAAUACCAUUUAAGCUUUGAAAGCAUGGCUGGCUGAAAACAUUUCCUUUUCUAUUUCACAAAUUUAAUGCAGAGAAGAGGUUGUGCUUAUUCAAAGAACAGCUCCUUUGGAGGCAAGAAAAAAAAAUUAAAGGGGCAUUUUGAAUUCUAAGUAAACAGUCUUUCAUGCCCAGAGUGAGUUUCAAGUUAAAUAGAGUGACUUGUUUGCAUAGACUGGCUGAAUAUUACCAUGCAGUUUAUCGAAUUUACAUUAUUUUUUGUCAUGCUGUUUAUUUACAUAUACAUUGAACUUUGCACAAAAAUGCUCACUCUUGAGGGAGGGCAACUGUCACAGUGCCUAAAUCAGGACUGGGAGAAUGGAACAAGGGGACAAAAUGCAAUUUUGCAGCUGCUACUUGGCUAACGUGUUUCUCUGACAUCACUCUACUCGUCACUCGACUCUUAAUCCUCCCUUUUUCCUUAUGCAAACAGGAAUUGGAUUCUAUUUGGAGACUCUUGGGGAUUAUUCAAAGGUUCUUGAACUAGGUAAUGAAAACUCAGGCCCCUUGUUCCCUCUCUUAGUACAGCAACGUUCUGGCUUUUUCCAAUACCCAUUGUUAAUCAAGGGCUUUUCAAAUAAGAGCCUCUGAAAGUUUUAAUGCCUCAGUUAGGGUGUGCCUGCUUUGGGCUCUUAUCAACAAGGCAGAAAACAUAUUUUUUAGGAGAAACAAUGUUACCUUCCUAUGAUUGUAGAGUGUUACAUGCUUUCCUGAGCUCUGACACUAAGUCUCUUGAUAAUACUUUGAGGGACAGAGGGAGUCCUAGUGUCUCCAUAUUAUUGAUGAGGAAACCAAGGCUCAGAGAGGUUAAGUAACCUCCAAGCUCACACACUAUGCUAGAGUCAUGCAAGACUAAAACCCAGAUGAUCUCCCCAAUCCAAACAUUUUUGCCAUGAGACAUUUAAUGUCCUGACCUCAGUGAAUUCCCUGCUGGGAAGGCUGGGGAAGCUGAAAUGAUACUAUGUAUCAGGUGAAGCCAGGGACUCCAGUCUUAAACCUGUACUCUCCCAAGGCGUGGGGUAUAGUGCUUGCAUUGGGAAGGGUCUGUCGGGGGAGAAAAUUUAAGAUACAUGUCAGGCUAAUUAUUCUUCGAGUCCUUUUUUCUUGUAGUCAGAAAGUAAAUCUCAUUUAUGGAGCCCAUCUAAGAGCAAUGGCAAUAGCAAUAAUAAAAUGAUGGCUGACUCUAUAGGGUGAUUACUAUGUGCUAAUCACUUUAUAAACAAGCUCUCCUUUAAUCCUUCUAGCAAAUAUAGGGAGAAAAUUACUGUUAUCAUUCCCAUUUUACAGAUGGUAAAAAGAAGGUAUAAGGCCAUUACCAAAUAAAAGAGCCUAGACUUGAAACAAAUAUGUUUGACUCAAAAGUCCAUGCCUGUAACCACUCAUGCUGCCUUCUUUUUACCAGGUGCUUUCUGUACAGUGUUGCUAAUGCUCACAAUAAUGUCACAACAGAAGAAACUGAGACCCGGAGAAGUGAGUUAUAUUGCUCAAGUUCACAGAGCUAGGAGGAAGCUUUCAGGAUUCAAAAUCUAGGCUGGCCUGUCUUCCUCCCUUAUGCCGAGGUUGUUUGUCUUACCAUUGUGGUAGGAACGGGUCCCCUGGAAGGGCCUACCAAGGCCUGCACAAGAGGUUCUCAUAGGGCUACUCACCACGUUCUUGUAGAAGUAGUACACCACCAUCCUGGCCAGGCGCGAGUAACACCAGUGACCAUGCACAAGCAGCAGCUUCUUGAGGUGUCUGAAGCGGGAUAUGGCAAAGUCGCUGGCCAUAACAGCCUGAGAGGGCAGAACAGAGACAUCAGCUUCUAUCCAUGGCCACCAGUGAACCAAAGAGUCCCCCUUGAGGGCUCUGCUUUGUUCUAGGUCCGUACCUGGUAGGGCCAAAAAGACCCUUUGUCAUUAAGUGGCACCUAGGGUGGCUCUUUGGAAUUGGAUAUCCCCCAUCCUUUCUUCCGAAAAAUCCAAACCUCACUAGACUCCAAGAAAGGCAGCUUGUAAAGAAUUAGUGGUCUAGUCUGGCCUUUCAUCUCCUUCCAUUUCUCUGAUAAACAUUAACUGUGGCCUACAAUGUGUUGGCACCAUGCUAGAGAUGCGACGGCUAACCAGAAAGUAGUGGCGUCCAUGCAGAAAAGCCUCCCACCUCUCAAUGACCUGGUUGCCACCUGCAGAAGAACAUUGGCUCCACCUUCACAUGGAGAUGAUGGCGGGAGAGCUCUUCCUUUACGUGGAGCUGAACUGUGUUUUCUGCCUUUGGGAUUAUUCAGAAGAGGACAUAGUUCAUGGUUCUCUUAAGUGUAUGAGGUUUGAGACUAUGGAAAGAGUCUAGAUGUCCAUCAACAGAUGGAUAAAGAAGAUGUGGUUAAUAUACAUAUAAUGGAAUACUAUGCAGCCAUUAACCCCCCCACCCCGAAAUCUUGCCAUUUGCAAUGACAUGGAUGGAACUAGAAGGUAUUAUCCUAAUCAAAAUAAGUCAAUCAGAGAACGACAAUUAUCAUAUGAUCUCACUUGAUUUGAGGAAUUUGAGAAAUAAGGCAGAGGAUUGUAGGGGAAGAGAGGGAAAAACGAAACCACAUGAAACCAGAGAGGGAGACAAACCAUAAGAGACUUAAUCUCAGGAAACAAACUGAGGGUUGCUGGACGGGAGGGAGGUGGUGGAAGGGAUAGGGUGGCUGGGUGAUGGAUAAUGGGGAGGGUAUGUGCUAUGGGGAGUGCUGUGAAUUGUGUAAAACUGAUGAAUCACAGACCUGAACCCCUAAAACAAAUAAUAUAUUAUAUGUUAAUUUAAAAAAAAGAAGUAUGAGCUUUGGAAGUGCCUGGUUAUGGACUCUGGUAUAAGUCUUGGCCAGGCUGUUUAACCUUUCCCAGCAUUGGUUUCAUCUAGGAAAAAAAAAAAGGAGUGAUAAUUCCUAAUACACAGGGAUGUGAUUUUUCAAAUCAAUUGAAAUAAUAAAUCCAAGGUUUAGUGCAAGCACCUAGUACAGUGCUGGCUUAUGAAAGAAACUCAAAAGGUAACUGUGUUCUUUCAUCCUCACCAACAAAUUUAGGUAAUGCCUCCUGUCUGUACUAGCAGUGGGAAUAUAGUUAUUAAUGGUUCAAAACCACAAAGUGGGGUCUGUUUUCAUGGGAAAUGUUAGUAGCUCAGGCUAGUAUGCUUGUCCCAAGCUGAAUUUUGACUUAGUAAGUGUACCUUACAAUUUAUAGGUCAAUCUAGCCAUCGAGACUAAAAUGGCAAUUGAAAAAUGUUUUCAAAUGUCCUUAUCUCUGUCACUGCUCAUGGAGGGCACCACAUUUUUGGAUGUGGAUAGAAGUUACAGAGAGGAAGAAUGGAGUCAGUAGAAAGCUUAGCCCUCCCAUUCAGGAAGGCUUUAGAAUACAGGUAUUGCUGGUAAAGCUAAGCCCCCUCAAGGUCCUGGAAACCUUACUUCCAAAAUUCCCUAGGGACUUAUGCUAUCCGUAACUCCCUCCCAACUUGAAUGUAUAAUAACGGGCCACUCUCCAUGACCUUGGUGCAGCUCUUUCUGUCCGUGGGUCCUUUCCCCAUGCCUUAAUAAAACCACCUUUUUUGCACCCCUCCCCCCACCAAAAAAAACUCUAAGCAUCCUUCAAAUUUCCUCUGUAUCAGAAGGACUGGGCAGCAAAGGAUAUAGUGAUGGAGGUUAUGUAUAGGCAUGGAAGCCCUGUGACUCUCAGAUGAUAAUUCUGCAAAGCUCUUGGGGAGAAGAUCCUCCAACACUUGGGGGGGAUUCCAUAACUCUCCAAAAAGGGUCAAAGAGAGAAGAAAUGAGAAUAAUUGAGGGGAACAGUACCUGCAUGCCUUCCUGUCCAGAUAUCCCAAUUCCAAUAUCAGCAGCUUGAAUCAUGCUUACGUCAUUUGCUCCAUCACCUGAAAGGAGAGAGAUCAUGAGGUGUCUUUAUUCCUGGUCUAACUGCUGCAUGACAAUGGAAAGGGUGUUACACGAAUGGCUCUAAAGUCUGUGUACAUAAUUGGAUACAUUUAACAUUGCUCUGAAUAGUCCUACAAGAAAAGUCCUUGCUACAGUAUUUGGCCUGAGAGAGGUCUUUUCUUCUUCUUCUUUUUUUUUUAAUUAAAAAAAUUUUUUUUGUUAAUAUAUAAUGUAUUACUAGCCCCAGAGGUACAGGUCUGUGAAUCACCAGGUUUACACACUUCACAGCACUCACCAUAGCCUUUUCUUCUUUGACAAGAAGCUCUAUUAUUUGACAAAUGUUUAUUGUACCUUUUGUCUAGGCACAAUAUUAGGUAUUGGGAAUAAAGUGGUGAGUGAGGCUGGAGCAUGGCUUUGCAGUUUACAAUAAAAGGCCUUCACAAAUGUUACAGUGGACUUCACUAAUGAGCAAAUGGAGAAUCGGAGCAACAUAGAGAUUCUGCAAGGGUAAACCAAGCUAGGGAAGGGGCCCAGGAACAUUGGCACGAAGAUCUUUGCUACUUUUCCUAACUCAGUAGAAGCUAAAUAUAAACUAUUUAGCGUAUUAAGACCAUUGGAAGGUCUGGACAGCUAAAUCAUCAGAUUGGCAAUGGUGUCCAAGGACAGGGAUGGUGUUCGGUUUUGUUUCUGAAUAUAGGAAAAUGGGAUUGACUGAUUUUUUUUUAGUUGAGGAACAUUUAAUCACACUGUGUUCCCAUUUAACGAGCUAAGGUGUUUAUUUCAGGAAAUUGGAGGUUAGGGCACAAAAAUACACAAACAGCCUCCAGCACUGUCAUAUAGUUUUUCAGUGAUGUUGGAAAUGUCAUCUAUCUUUACUGUCUAAUAUGGAGACUACGAGCCCCAUGUGACUAUCAAAAUGCGGUUGGUGAAAUUCUAUUUAAUUAUAAAUUUCAAUACCUAUCUAUAGCUAGGUAGUAACCGUUUUACACAGCACAGCUCUACCCAGUGAGGCUUUCCUUACAAACCUGGCUUUUCCCAAAGCUUUAUCUUUCAGACUAGAGAUGAGCAAACUUUUUCUAUAAGGGGCCAGAUAGUAAAUAUUUUAGGCUCUGUGGGCCAAAAAGCAAAACUGAACAACUCUUUUUGCUGAAAGGUGAAUAGUCUUGUACACAUUUCACAGUUAAAAACAUAAAAGUCAUUCUCAUAUCCCUGCAAAAGCAUGUAGUGGUCUGGAUUCAGCCUGGCGGCCAUGGUUUGUGGCCUGCAUUGUCUUCAUUCUCCUCCCGGUCCCACCUCUUUUUCUAGUAGGUUCUCAUAAUAGAAUGCAUUUAAAUAUGUAUUAGAUAACUUGGAGAAUAUGGAAUUGGGGAGAGAAUUUUCUUUCCUUUGUUAUUUGGCAAGAAAAUUAAUCUUUAAAACUUUAUGAAUGUAAGUAGCCAUUAUUCUUGUAACGAUCAUUAUUUAUUUUCUUCUUCCCCAUGGAGAACAAAUCGACUCUUUAACUUCUUCUGGUAGCAAACCAGUGGAAGUAGAGGUAUGGAAUCAUGCCAUAACUCACCCUGUUGGGUUUUUUUCUGCUUCUGUGGCAGUGGAGCUAAUUUCUUACCUCAGACUGUCAGUCCUGGGCUAUUGUCUUAUGUGUGUUUAAAGUUCUGAAGAGGAUAAUUUGGGGAAUAAAAUCAGGAUGCAGUUGCUAAAACUGCUCCCUGUCUUUUUGCCCAUGCGCCCCCCCCUUUUUUUUUUUUGGUUUGAAUUGCUUUCACCUGAACACUGGGAGAAAAAACAAUGUGCAAGUAGGCUUCUUAAUUUGAAAUGCCAGGAAGGAAACUCUCCUUCUAUGUCUGUGUGGGAAGGAUAGAACCUGGAACCAUCUGUAGGAAUAUCCAUAAAUGAAUGUAAUGUUUACUAUGUGCUUGGUAUGUGCAGAGCACAGACAAAAUGAUAAGACUGAUAUGGUUUCCACUAUUCAAGGAACUCCUGGUCUCCUGAGCAGGCCAUUGCAGAAAGAGUAUCAGUGCUCUGCAGCUGUGAGGGCUGUGUGCUGCUUGAGUUCCCAGAGACAAGGAAGGUUAGAUGGGGUUGGAAUAAGGGGUAUUUUACAGAGGAAAUAGCUUGGCAAAUGCAAAGGCUCAGGAGUAAGAAAGAUAGGACAAGGCUCAUGGAGAAUGGCAAUCAGUUCCAUCUGGUUAGAGCAUGGAGUGCCAGAUGUUGGGGAACAGACAGUAGCUGUGGUGAAGGAUGUGGCUAGAGGGUUAGUGGAGACCAGAUUGUGAAGAUUCUUGGAAACCAGGUUUGCUUGUCCCUGGAAGGUUUGAUAUAGGUACAGUUUUGAUUUCUCUGCCUUAAUCACGUUUAAAGUUUAGGGUCCUAUGAGGAAUUUCUUCAUCAACCAACAGGUCUGCAUUCGUUGAGUGUUUGCUUUGUGCUGGGCCUUGUAUUUUAGAAUGGACAUAUGGGAUAGGCUCAACUUCUACAAUCUCCCCAUAAGCCAUCAACACUCAGCAGAAUAUCAAAUCCACAAACACCUGAUGUUUAUGUUAUUAGGCCAGCUGUUAAGUAUCAAAAGGGGAAUGGGCUGUAUCCCAGAACUGAAUGGCCUGAGUGUAUAUUACUGAGUUAUGUGAAUGUUCUGAAUUUGAGGCUUCUUCUGGCUUUAACCUCCAUUCAAGUCAUAAAUUUUCCUUAGUGAUCUGCUCAUCCUGAGAACUUUGAUUCACUCUCCCACUCUGCUGAGCCUCUGCUUCCUCUCCCAGCUGCCAGUCUUGGCUGUCACUUUGAACUCUCUCAGUCUAAGACAGUGAUCCUCAGCCUGGGUAUCUUGACUUUGACACAUGACCUUCCAACUCUGGUCCAGGCCUCUUGCCAGAUCAGCCUCACAGGCUGCACCCACAUCUCCACGUGAUAGGUACCUAUGGAAAGGGUCAUGACGUUCAACUUGUCUCGCACCAACUUGACUAUCAUACUCUUCUGGAGCGGGGUGGAACGGCAGCAUAGGACAGACCGGCAGUACUGCGUCAACUCCAAAAAUUUCAUCUCCAGUUUUCCCUGGAAAAUGGCAUUCAAUGUCUUCCCAUCAAUGACCAAUCCAACUUCUGGAACUGCAGCUCUUGAGGAGGGAGGCAGUGUCUCAGAAGGUAGACAGAACCCAAAGAUCUUGGGGUCUGGGUUCUGUGGUCCAUGGAAUUGCUUUACUUCUUCCAGUGCACAGCUGAGGAUGGAUUCACAAGUUUCCUAUAGAGUCAGAAUAAUAAAUAUGGUAUUAGUAAGCAACACUGGAAAUGUAGGUUGAAGAUUUCACUUUAUCCUUUAGUAAAAUAGUUACGAAACUCUACCACCAUAGAGGUUACUCAGGAAGCAUUCUCUGAUUUCUCUCGUUUCUCUGCAAUAUUUCAAAAGGCAUCAAAGCAAUGUGAAUUGCUUUUAAGCAGAUUAAUGGCAAAAGAGAGAUGGUGAGGGAAUGGGAGUAGAAGUAGUUCAGCAAGAUGAGGACAGAUACUGGGAUGGUUUAAGCUAAUAAAUAAUGUCAUGAUGGUAUUGUGCUUUCUAUUUCUCACAAGUCAUUUUAGUUCUCCUGAGGAAAUUGAGUGAUGAGGCAACUGAAACAGUAAAAUCAUUAGUAACUUGCCCUAGCUCACCCAACUUACUAGUGGAGGCAGAACAUUAUUACCAAAAUUAUGGCUUUUAAUAAAAAAAAAAAUACAUCGAAUGUUUAUCUGUUGGCAUGAAUGUUUUGGUCAUAUAGGUUAAAACUGACUAUGAAUGUGAUCAUCUUAAUGAUGUAAAGAAACUUCUCACUGAUUUUUUCUGAUGUUUACCUUGAAACCUAGUGAAGAAUUUAUUUGCCUCUUUUACUUUUGAUGGUAUCAGAGAUAAAGUCACCUUUUGGUUCUAAGUAUAUUCUUUGUACCCCUUUAGAUUUUGCAACAUUACUUUCAAAUAAAGAUAGAGAAAAGUUAUGGCAGUCAACUGUAUCAUCAAUUUUAAUAGCAUUGUUUUUUUCACAUAAUUAUUUUUUUGUUUUGUUUUUUAUAAGCUUUUUAAAAAUUUAAAUUCAAUUAAUUAACAUAUAAUAUUAGUUUCAGAGGUAGACGUCAGUGAUUCAUCAGUCUUAUAUAAUACCCAAUACUCAUUACAUCAAGUGCCUUCCUUAAUGCCCAUCCCCCAGUAACCCCAUCCCUCCAUCCCUUUCCCCUCUAGCAACCCUCAGUUUGUCUCUUAUGAUUUAUCUCCCUCUCUGAUUUUGCCCCCAUGAUCUUUAUUUAGCAGUGUUUUUUAUUCAUGGCAAGGAUGAUUUUCAUUUACUGUAGUGCUAACACAUUUCUAAAAAUAAAUUUAAGUAUGUAAAGUCAGUCAAUGUAAAUGAAAUCAUUAAAUUAAAAAAAAAAAGUAGAGGUAAUAUGUGGAUUUAGGCAAAAAUUGUGAAGACUGUUCUGAUAUGAUAGGUUUGGGGGCCAUUAAUCUAGAAGCUUCUGAGAAUAUUUGGAGUCAUUUAUUCUGGAGUGAGUAGAACUGCAGAUAAUCAUUCCUGAGUCUUCCCUUAGGGGAUGCUGAAUUGAGUGUUGCAAGCAAUAGGGUAUGCCCAGAACCUAGAGGGGUAAUAGGAAGUAGUUCCAGGAGUGGGUGGUUAUGCCUGAGGCACUUAUCUGGGAAAGAGAUCAAGACAGUCCAUGCUGGGAGUUGGGGCAGACACAAAUUAUAUAAAUUUCUCCAACAUAUGGCUGCAGGAAGUCAUUGGAGAUAUAAGUUUCAAAAUCUCUGAAUUUACUUAUUUCAAAUUGUGAUAUAAUAACCAAAUAGUUACUAUUCAUUUAACCUUUAGUAUAUGAUAGGCACUGUGGUAGGGAGUCCCUAAGAUGCUUCUCAAAGAUCCCUGCCCUCCUGGGAUGCAUUCCCCUGUCUGAUCCCUUCCCUUGGGCGUGAGCCACAUCUAGCAAUUCCUUUCUAAUGUUAAGAAUUCUGCAAAAGUGAUGGGAAGUCUCUUCCAGAUUAGCUUAUAAAAAGACCAUGGCUUCCAAUUUGGCACUCUUUUCUCUCUCUCUCUUGGAUGGCUUGUUGUGGGGGAAAAGCAGCUGCCAUGUUGUGAAGCAGCUCUAUGGAGAGGCCCAUGUGGUGAGGAACUGAAGUUUGCCAGCAAUCAUGUCUGUGAGCUUGGAAGAAAGGCUUCUCUCCACGUCCAAACAACCUACCAGUUGAGCCUUCAGAUGAGCGCAUACCCCUAACUGACAGCUUAACUGCAGCCUCCAGAAAGACCUGAACCAGAGGUACCCCGCUAAGCUGCCCCUGGACUCCUAACCCACAGAAACUGUGGGUUAAUAAAUAUUGGUUGUUUGCAGCCAUUAAAUUUUGGAGUAAUUUGCUAACUAAAACAAAUACUAUGCUAAUAAGUAUUUUUCUUCUAUGAUCUUAUAUAAUCCUGCCAAUAGCCUCUGAAAUAAAUCUUUCUAAUCCCUGUUUUACAUAUGAAGAGAGUGAAGUUUUGGGAGGUUUGAUACCUGGACCAUAUUAAGCUUUCAAUAUAUGUUACUAAAAAUGAUAAUAAUCAUUGCUGUUAUUAAUUUCUAUCAAAUACUCUAGUUCCUUCUAAAUUCCUUGACAGACCAGCCCUUUCAGUGAUGGGUUAGUAAUUCUCUCAUUUUAUGGAUGUGAACCCUGAGGUCUACAGAGGUCCCAUAACAUGCUUAUAGAUUUAAGGUACAUAACAAAGAAAUAGUAGCCCUAAAUCAAUUUAUAAUGAAUUAGGCAGAUUAAAACCCUUGGAGAAAUUAUUCACUGAAUACAGAAUUAUAUUAAACUAGGGUUUAAGUAAAUCUGAGAUUUGGAAUGGCUUUCCCCAGUUUCUGGCUUUACAUAUCCUUGUAGCCAGGUAAAGGGGUGAGAAAAACUAAUCUUAGAGGUUUAGUGGGCUUAGGGUGUGGACAGGGGCUAACAUUCAGAUACCAUCUGAGAGGGUCCCAGACAGCUUUAAAUGAAUCAACAGUGACUGAACAAAACAUGAAAUGUGACCCACUGUUCCUUAAGAACGUUGGCUAAUUAAUUGCUAAACAUCUUCAGCUUCCUGGAGGAAUACAUUACAUUUAACAGAAACCACAAAAGCCCACUCUAUCCCUCUUGGUCUGACUGACUCAGAAGUUUGCCCAUGUCUUCCUUCUGGGAUCACCUGGAGUGAAAUAAUCCUUGUAAAUAGAAUUUCCAUUGUAAGCAGGGCAGGCAGAUAUCAACUGUUAUUACAGGGAUCAAGUACUCAAGCAAGCAGCAAAUUAGAAAGAAAAAAAAAAUUCUUUCCUAAGCAUAAUAUUAAUGCCAAAGACUUCCCCAAGAUUAUUUUCAUUUUGAAAAUUCAUUGGGGUUUAAUCUAAUCACAGCAUAAUCUGUGCACUGGACAAGAAAGUAAUUUUUCCAAUUCUUACAAAAGGCCUCAGGCACUUUUCAUAGUAUACACUACUUAAAAAAAAAGUAUGUGCAUGUGAUUCUUUAUGGGAAAAAAAAAAAAAAGAAAAACCAGAUUUAAACCUCCUAAACCUCUGUUCUGGGUCCAAUCAGUCUGAAGCAAAACUGAAAGAGUGUGGCUCCAACAUCCUCCCUGACCCCCUUCCUGUGCUCUUCGUUCCCAUCUUUUUCCCUCUUCUCCAUCCUUUUUCCCACCGCAUGCCUACAUCUCCCCGUGCCCUCCUCCGACCAUCCCUCCGAUACUUUUCUUGCUUGUUUCCUUCUGGUAGGACCAUACAUCUCAAUGCCUCCUUCCCAUAGUCAUCAGCCAAGAUGUUGGAGCUUCACUUUCUGCAGUUUGCGUUGUGAAAAUAGACUCUCCCCGCCCCUAAAUAUAAAGCGGUAUUGUAACUUCAAAUACUCUUCCUCAGACUUCACACAAUCCUCUCUCUACAUCCCAUCCCCUGCUGCCCACAGUCUUCCUGGGGGGAGAAAACUGCAGUUUUAGGACUCUGCUUCUCCCUUUCUCUCUCUCUCUCCCAUCCUAUCUAAGCAUGCUGCCUCAUGAAUCACUCCCUUCAGGUUUUAUUCUGUGGCAAACCAAUUGGACACAUAAACUGGAGCUGAGAUUUUAAACUCAGAAUCAUUUUAAUGCGAAUGGGGCUUUUUCAAUGGGAGAGUUAAUCCAAAGUAGAAGAAACUCACAACUGGGGUUCUGGGAGCGAACAAUGUGUUAUGGCACAGAUAGCACUGGCCUGGUGGGAGGACAGUGUUCUAGAUUUAGUUCUGUCAGAAACUACCAGGGUGACCCUGGGCAAGUGGCUUAGUCCCAGCGGUCUUCAGUUUCCUCAUCUGUAAAAUGUGGAGAUUGGGCCAAGGGUGGAAGUUAGAAGAUCAAAACUUUCUAACAUGUACUACUGGAUGUAAUGUGAUCAAACUGGUCAGUGGUGCAUGGGGUUGAAGUGGGUGACUCCUGAGGGCCUCUGAGCUCCAAGGUUCAGUGAUAUUUUGGGGGCAGGGGUGCUUCCCUGUGGUACCCAAAUCCCACCCAUAAACCUGUCUCUUUUGGCUUAGAGGCUGUUCUGCACUUGGACAUCUGGUCUCUACUUUGGUCUCACCUGACUUUCUGUAUUAAUGGAGUAAACCAUGUCAGUCUGAUCUAACAAUCUGCAGGAAUAGGCGAUAUUGACUGCUGUCUCCUGCUUAUCUCCAGUCAAGACCCAGAGCUGGAUGCCAGCCUCCCGUAGAGCAGCGACUGUGUCUGGAACCCCUUCCUGUAGCCGGUCUUCGAUCCCAGUGGCUCCUGGAGUGAUCAAAGACAUCAGAGCUUACAAUUAGCGUGACAAACUGCUUAAAUUCCCUCAAGCCCUCUCAAACCAGAUAGUGAUUAUUAACUAUCUCCCAUGUCCUAGGCUGUGCUAAGCCGUCAGCAUACAACAGUGAAAUGGAGCUGGUCUCUACCCUCUUGCAACUCAAUAGCUUGUUGAAGGAAGAUUUAUAACUGAACCAUACGAGAAGAAAAGCCGAGGGUGUCCUACACUAGGAGACCUGAACUUCCUUUAGAAAGUCAGGGACAAUCUUGUUAAAAAGGGCCAUUUGAGCUCAGACCUGGAAGACAAGGCCAAGAAAGGGCAAAGGAGGAGAAUUCCAGGUAGAGGGAUGAGCAUAGAUGAAGGCCCAGAGGUCAGAGUAGAAGGCGGCAUAGAAAGGGAGGCAGCGUCGGGCAAGAGAUGAGGCCAGGAAGAAAGGAAGUCUGCUGGAUCCUACAGAGCUUUGUCGGGGCAUUACAGGAUUUCGGAUUUAUUUGGUAGACAAGAAAGCUAUUAAAGGGAAUUAAGAUGGACAGUGAUGGGAUCAGUUUUGAGUUUUAAGAAAAUCAUUGUAGAGAAUGACUGGAGAUUGGGAGAGGUGGGAUGAGAUUAAAGGCUGAGCCAGGGUGUGGAGAAAUCACCUGGGUGGGUCUAGCCGCAAGGAAACUGGGGAGAAGUGCAGAGACUUUGCUCGAGAACAGCUCAUGACAGAAUUGGGACUCGGGUUUUUGAUACUGUUCUUGGAAUUAAAUAUACAGACUCUAUAAUUUUUGAAUGAUCUCAAGCUUUGCACCCACCCUGAUGAAUAUAUAGCCAAAUAUUAAAUAGUUGUGAAGUGAUUAAGCAUAAAUUAAUCUGCAUUUAAAUUGAGAUUCACUUCAGACAACAGACUCAUGGCCACCCAUUUUACUCUGGGCAGGAGCAAGGCAUUUCAUUUCUUUUAAUAAUCCCUAGUGACAAUAGGUUGGCAAAGCAGUUACACCGGAUGCAUACUGAAAAGAGCAUUUCAUAGUGUGGGACCCGGGGUGAAUGCAAUGCGGCUUUCGUGGCAUAGCAGAUUCUUGGUGGCCCAGAUGCGCAAACAACCCCAUGAAAAGUGAUGGCUCAGGCCUUGUCUUUCCCUCCAAGGGUUAGCCUGGAAGCACUCCUGGUGCUUUCCCCUUGCACCCCUGCCUGGCGGAGAGUUCGGAGCAGUCUGGUUUACAUGGAGGAGAAGCUAGGGCUCAGCGGGGUAAGGGGAUAGGUCCCCGAGCACACAGCCCAGGACCAGGAUUUGGCCGUCAUCCCCAGAUCAGCACUGCCUCCCAAGACGAAAGAAGGCUUUAGCGAUGUGGUCAGCAUGUACACACAUCAGGCAUUGCCUUUUCCGGAUCUUGCUGCCAGCUGUGAGGUGAUUAACCCUGAUAAACAGAGCCUCCUCCUUCUGCGCAGGUAAUGCUUUACCUCUGACAGAAACAUAAGACUACCUCGUAGACCGUCUCCCCGCUUCUCAUCUUUACCUCAGUGUUAUCGGUGGAACUGCCGCAGAGCAGCAGCUUUUUGCGAAGCUUGAGUCUGUCCCUGCUUUUCGUCCCUUCUCUCUCAACCGUUAGCAUAUAUUUAUGUGUCCUUCAUGACCUGCGUCACGCUGAGCUUUCUCCCCGACUCUCUGUGGUUCAGUCAUGGCAGACCUCAGGGUUUCCAGCCCGUCUAGACUGUCUCCCAUCUAACUCUUCUUCAGGCCCCUCCCUCUGCCUGACAACUCUCUGCCUUUGUUUGGCCAGCUCCUCUGCCCUGCUCAUUUCCUCCCUUCCAGCACUCUCCCUGGCCCCAGUCUAGGCUGGUACCUUCUAUUUUGCGCCCAUACCACCAGGUGAAUCAUCCAGCCUGGCCCUCAUCACACUUGGUUGAAAUUCCUUGUUUAAUCAUCUGGCUUCCUUGCUAGAUUGAGCUCUGAGAGGAUAGGGCCUAGGGCUCUUGUUUGGUAGUCCCAAUACCUAGCAUGCCACUUGGCACAUAGUAGGUGCUCAAUAAACAUUUGAAUGAUUGGAGGAGAAGUAACCAAGGUCCUGGGCUUUAUCCAGCAGGCAGUGUGGGAAAUGCUCCUGGGCAUCCUCAGGAAGCAGUUUGUGGAGUCUGGAUUGGGUAUCUGUACCACUUGUGCCAAAUACCUGGAAGGGCACUCCAGGGAAGGCUUUUAAUUGAGACACAUCUGCAGCAGUGCCAGAGUCAGGGCCAAGAACUCCCUCUACAGUGUGUAGCAUUCCUUUUUUUUUUUUCUUUUUUUCUUUUUUUAAAAUUCAGUGAUGUCUUAUUUUAGUUACCGAGUA